UGCCUAUGAUGAUUUAUAAUCGCUACUCGUGACAUUUGUGUAUGACGAGACAACUCACCAAGAUCUCAGAGGCA